rnacentral:hammerhead_ribozyme from 1 species
AUACAGUUGACGAGUCCCAAAUAGGACGAGACGCGCGUCCUGGAU